rnacentral:rRNA from 1 species
UACGAAGGGGGCUAGCGUUGUUCGGAAUUACUGGGCGUAAAGCGCGCGCAGGCGGUCUUCCAAGUCAGUGGUGAAAGCCCGGAGCUCAACUCUGGAACUGCCCUUGAAACUGGUGACCUUGAGUACGGGAGAGGUGAGUGGAAUUCCCAGUGUAGAGGUGAAAUUCGUAGAUAUUGGGAAGAACACCGGUGGCGAAGGCGGCUCACUGGCCCGUAACUGACGCUCAGGCGCGAUAGCGUGGGGAUCAAACAGG